rnacentral:rRNA from 1 species
UAGGGAAUCUUCCACAAUGGACGCAAGUCUGAUGGAGCAACGCCGCGUGAGUGAAGAAGGUUUUCGGAUCGUAAAGCUCUGUUGUUGGUGAAGAAGGAUAGAGGCAGUAACUGGUCUUUAUUUGACGGUAAUCAACCAGAAAGUCACGGCUAACUACGUGCCAGCAGCCGCGGUAAUACGUAGGUGGCAAGCGUUGUCCGGAUUUAUUGGGCGUAAAGCGAGCGCAGGCGGAAUGAUAAGUCUGAUGUGAAAGCCCACGGCUCAACCGUGGAACUGCAUCGGAAACUGUCAUUCUUGAGUGCAGAAGAGGAGAGUGGAAUUCCAUGUGUAGCGGUGGAAUGCGUUGAUAUAUGGAAGAACACCAGUGGCGAAGGCGGCUCUCUGGUCUGCAACUGACGCUGAGGCUCGAAAGCAUGGGUAGCGAACAGG